AUUGAACGCUGGCGGCAGGCCUAACACAUGCAAGUCGAGCGGAUGAGUGGAGCUUGCUCCAUGAUUCAGCGGCGGACGGGUGAGUAAUGCCUAGGAAUCUGCCUGGUAGUGGGGGACAACGUUUCGAAAGGAACGCUAAUACCGCAUACGUCCUACGGGAGAAAGCAGGGGACCUUCGGGCCUUGCGCUAUCAGAUGAGCCUAGGUCGGAUUAGCUAGUUGGUGAGGGUAAUGGCUCACCCAAGGCGACGAUCCGUAACUGGUCUGAGAGGAUGAUCAGUCACACUGGAACUGAGACACGGUCCAGACUCCUACGGGAGGCAGCAGUGGGGAA
rnacentral:rRNA from 1 species